rnacentral:rRNA from 1 species
AUUGAACGCUGGCGGCAGGCCUAACACAUGCAAGUCGAACGAGUGGCGGACGGGUGAGGAAUAUAUCGGGAACUACUCUGUGGAGGGGGAUAACGUAGGGAAACAUGAGCUCAUACCGCAUACGAGUGAGGGAGCCGACGUGGGAUUAGCUAGUGGGGGGGGUAAAGGCCCACCAAGGCGACGAUCCGUAGCUGGUCUGAGAGGAGGAUCAGCCACACUGGAACUGAGACACGGUCCAGACUCCUACGGGAGGCAGCAGUGGGGAAUAUUGGACAAUGGGCGCAAGCCUGAUGCAGCCAUGCCGCGUGUGUGAAGAAGGCCUUCGGGUUGUAAAGCCCUUUCGGUGGGAAAGCGUUACCCACAGAAGAAGCACCGGCUAACUUCGUGCCAGCCGCCGCGGUAAUAC